UUUAUAUAUGUAAAAGUUAUCUAUUUUUUAAUGAUAAAUUUUUCAUUUGAAUAAAAAAUUAUUUCUUCAAAAUCACUAAUAAUGUAUAAAUUAAUCAUUUAACCCUUUAAAAUGUUUAUCUAUCAACUUUUUAAUUUUAUAAUAUAAAAGUUACAGAAAAAUAGGUUAAAGUUACGAAAAACUGCGUAAAAGUUAUCUUGGUGUACAAUAAAUUUAUUGUACACCUUGUGCGCGCAAGACCUUUUGAUCUCAUAAUCUUCGAGAAUAUAAGGGCUUCGACUUCUAUUUUUUAAACCCUAAAGUAUGUAAGUUCAAUUAUCUCGUAGUUCUUAUUUCUCUAAUUUAAGCUUUUAGAAGUUUCAUUUCUUCACAAUUGUAAUUAUUUUUGUUUGCGUUAAUUGGAAGGAGAUGAACAAAUUAAUAGUGCGAUAUAACUAGAAAUUGGAUAUCCAGGUUUGCGUUACUCGGAAGGGGGAAAUUUAAUCGAAUGCGCGGUUCCAAUUUCUGGUUUCAUUAAAUUCGCCCUUCUAAUUUUGUGGUCUUAAUCGUUGCCUCGAUCGUGGUCUUGAUCGGGUUUUAUCGAAUUUUUCGGCUUCCAAUUUCAGGUUCAGGAAAAAAUGCAAGGAUUUCCCGCAAAAGCUUUUGCAGAAAUGACGCGUUUUCUCUAAAUAUAGAUAAGAAAACCAUAUUUGUCUUUAGUUAGUUUGAAAAUAUAAGUUUUUUUCUUGAAAAGCUGGUUGCAAAAGUCAAAAGUUGAUGCCUUUACUUUUAACAAAACAGAUAGAAGACUGGCAUGAACCAACCUACAAAUUUUAUAUUUGCUGAUUCCAUAUCAUUUAUUGGGUGUAGAGAAUUUCUUCUGAUUAUCGUAGACACCAGUAGUACACGAAAUAAAGAAUCCUUUUAUCAUCGCAGACACUAGUAGAACACUUUAUUUCCUGCUUAUGUAAAUUUUUCUUCUUUUCAUAUGAGAACAUUUAUAUAGACUAUGAUAUUGAAGUUACAAAAUAUUAUUAAGGCUAAGAAAAAAAUGACUCUGUACUAAGGGGGAAUUAGACAGAACAUGACCUCAAUAGACGUGCAAGUUAUAGAAAAUCCAUUAAAAGUAACUUUAGUCAAAUAGAAGUUGUCUGAAAGUGUUAAAAGGAAUACCUUAACUGGUCAAGUAGCAGCAAACCUUUAGGAAGAGAUCCUGAUCCAAUUUCUAAUUGUACAAGUUUUACUCAUACUUCUUUAGUACUUUGUAAUAUGUUUUCUACAUUAUAUACAUUUUUUCAGCUUGGAGAAUUUUUUGAAACUCUACAAAAUAAUAAAGGGGUGAUACUCAUCAUAUUACCCUUAUGUUGUUCACUGUUGCCAACGGGACACACAUUUGGUUUUGGUUAUCUUUGUUACCUGACUUUUUAAGCACACUGAGUUUACAAGAGGCAGAUAUAGUCAGGAAUAUCAUAGUAACGGGUUGACUUUGAAAUAGACCAAUGUCCAUUCCACUGUAGUUCUUUGCAGCUCAAUUGGUUUGUAUUAGCUUUUUUAUACAGAAUAGUUUUGAAGUUGCAGGGUCUGAUUAGAGGAAUUUUAGUGGUCAUUCACUCCAUUGUCUUUCAUACGUGCUUCCUAGCUAGCAGCUACUGGAGCAGAAUAUCCACUCUAGAACACACAGUUCUAUAACAUUUAAAGACACCAAACGGCAGAAUAUCCACUCUUGAACACACAGUUUUGUUUAAAAGUUGUUGCUACAACCUAGGUCAUAUUUUAUACCAUAAUAUUUUAUGGCUGUUGCUACUUAUUUCUUCCGUUUUAUAGAAAUAUCUUUUGUUUGACAUGUUUAAUAUAUUUGUUUGUAGGUGUCGAGGUGAAGAUGUCCAAUUAUGUAAGGCAAAGAGGAUAGAAGAUAAUAGAUCCAAAAUGAAGGAAUUGGUGGUUAAAUCAAUGGCUUACCAAGUAAGUCAAAUGACGAAGAGCUCAAAACAAACGAAUAUAUACCUGGUGUAGAGGGUGAACUAAAUCACUCAAGUGAAGAGGAUAACAAUGAGAUGAGGACAUGGAGUGUAAACUUGACGUCUGGCUCUAAAAAGCUAGGUACAUGGUUCACAUUUCUGAAUUAUAAUUAGUUAACAUGUCUCCUCUUUUUUGUAUUUCAUGGAUGUAGAGUCAAAAGAAGGCAGGUGAUGCAUCUAAAAAAGAAGGAAAAUACUAGUCUAGGGACCGAUGAUAGGUCCUACUGAUAAGGAAAUGAAGGAGAACAAAAUCGAAAGAUAGAUCUGAGGAUAACAAAUCUUAGUAGUCUGAUAGUGAAGAAAAGGACAUGUUUGAAGAUGAAUCUAAACAUUGUAGUUAAUAUUGCACAUUCGUUUAUUCAGGGAUCAUGAAGUUUUGGUGUUGUGGAUGUGUUUUUCUGUACUGUUCGAAUUCAGGCAUUGGAGUGGUGUGGGUGUUACUUUGGAAUUACUGGUGGAGUUGGCUAGUGGUUCAUCUCUGUUGUUUAGUUGGCUGUUGUUGUUUGGUGAGUAGCCAACUGGUGUCUACUGUUGGUUUCUCAUUUUCUGCCAAACCUGCUUAUUUUGGUGCUCCCAGUUGUGUGAAGACUAGAGUCUACCGUAUUUUGAUUGCUCGUUUUCGUUGCCGUUGUUGAGUUUCCAGAAGGAGCUUCAUGCGUGUUGUUUCAAUCCAGUGGGAAGUACUGUAUGUUGUUGCAUUUUUUGUCGUGCUUACCCGUUUCAGUUCUGGUCAUUGUUGACCUGAGGUGACUGUUUUGCAGUUUCUAUGUUGGUAGGAUUAUAGGUUUUUGUUUCUCUGUUUUGGAGUUUGUGGAUGAUUUUGUACAUAAUUAUGAAAUUAUAUCAAUUUAAAUUAUUGUUUAUCAUA